GAAAAAUGUGUGCUUGACGUCCAGGGAGAGAACGGAGCAUUAGAACAGGAGUUAUAAAUUCAAGCAAAUCUGCUAACUCUUUUCCUCCUUGCACCAACGGAGACAUCUUAACUACAAUAAUUUUGGAAGCCCCCUAAGCUACAGAGACACAUGAAGUGAAACUGGCAGGAGCUCUCAACACAGCCUUGCAUUCUACAAUGAUUCUAGCAAUGGAUAAUAGUCACGGCUUGCCAAGCGGUGUAUAUGUCCGCACCCGGGAUCCAAACCGGCAAUCCCCAGGCCUCUGAAGUGAAACGUAGGCAGUUUCCAAUGCAGGUCAUAUAAGAAUCACAUUCUUUGAAGAAACGUUCCACAGGGGAAGAAACCAGAGAAGGUGGUGAAAUAGACAUCAGAAUAAUACAUCCCCCCACGUGCAAUAAAAUCCACAAAUACAACACCACGCCUCUGAUCUCCCAUUCUAUCCCCAGAGGUUUGCUCAAGCCAGGCACACGGAAAACUUACAUCAAACUCCUCACUUCCAAGAUCAGAGGAAGUCCAAGCUGUCCCUCAAGGAUUCAGAGGAUUCCUUGGAGUGAAGAGAUGGAGAAGAAGCCAGAUAACAUUCUCAUAGCCCCAGCUGAUCCUGAUUCCGUGAAGGAAGUUACCACAUUGAUGCAAACUUGAAAUCCCACUUCUUCUCUAUUGCCUUCCUCCACGGACACAUGCAAAAAUAGACAGACAAUCACACAAAAAUUCACGAGUCUAAUGGAUAGUACUGAAAUGCCAGAGGAGAGGUUACAUUACAUUGCAAAAAAAUUUACAAUCUCUGUUUGAAAUUUCUAUUAUUGAAAAUCUCCUUAAACCUCUGCUCCACUAGGGAUGUUUUUCUUGGCCCUUUUUGCUUUGCUACAAUCUUCUUUCCUUCUUCCCUUCUUCUCUUCCCACUUACUUCCCUCUUGACCACUUUCUCACUGUGUUUCCCCAGGAGUUCCAAAUUCUUCUUCUUCUGUUAACCAGAGCAAGCAAGUACAAUCCAGUGUGCAUUUUUAAACUUGCACCUCCAAAUCCAAGAAGCUGUUUUACGUGUUUUGCCAGAAAUCAGUUCCCAACUCUUCCAUGUUAUAGAGAGUAACCUUGGACAAGUUACUCAAGCUCUGUGUACCUUGCCUUCCUCAUCUAUGUAAUGGGGAUAAUAGUAGUAAUUAACUCAUAUGUGUAUCUUGAUGGUCAGAUUACUCAAUAUUGAUAAACCUAAACAAACCCUGACAGAGUUAGGGGCUUAAUAAAUGUUAAUUAUUGUAAUUGUUAUUUUUAUGGUUGUUUACCCUCCUGUGAAGCCUCUGUUGUUAUACUGAUUAUUUUUUUCUUGUUGUUAUUCUUUCUUUCUCCUCCUCUCCUUCUCCUCCUCUUUUGCUGUUAAAUAAUGGUAGCAUGGAAUCUCUCAGAACUCCGUUACAGCUAGAAUAGCCCUGUCAUAUGAAAACAAGCAAGCAGAAAACUAUGCACUUUUUUUCUUUCUGCUCUCAUAAUGCCUUUGACCCUUGCCUCUCUUUUUGCAGAUACUUUAUUAAUCUGUGUGCACAUGACAUAUGACACACACAUAAUGGCCACCCAAAAAUGGUGUUCUAGGAUCCAAAAUCUAUAUAACCUACCCACUCAUUUCAAGUCUCUGGGAGAGAAAAUCUAAUUGGUCCAUCUUGGUUCAGGGGUCCACUCUUACUCUAGUUGACCUUUGUUCGAGUUUAGUGGGUUCUCUAAACAAAAACAAAAAUGUUGGUCUCUUUUAAAACACCCCUUCUCUGUAUUUGUUCACCUGGACUUUAGGGAAUGUCUCUUAUCUUUUAUUCCUAGCAUUAAGCACAGUCUUAGCCUAUGCAAGACACUCAAUAAAUGCUUAUUGAAAGGAUCAAGUAUUGAUUCUUUUUUUUGUGCUGAAUUUCACUCACUAGCAAAUUUUGUUAAAGUAACAUCCUAGCAUUUAUGUUAUUAAUAAACUGAACUAUUCUUAUGUAUUUAAGUGGCUUUCUGGUCAUUUAAUAAAAAAUAGAUGUGGCCUCUAGAGAAGACUGAAAAAGCAAUCAAGGAUGAAGUUGUCAGUUAACAGGACUAGAGAAAGAGAGAGAAAUAAAGGAAAAUAGAAUAUGCCAAUAGAAAUAUAUAGAAAACCGAUAACACUCCCAGUAGUUAUUCUCAAUUAUCUAAAGAAUAAUGAGAAUGAGAAUUAUGAACAUUUCUUUUUAUAUAUAUAAUUAAUCUUGGAAGUAAUUUUUAGAUAGUCAUCAAAACAUAUCUAUCUAUUUCUUCCUGACUCAUAUAUCAAAUUGCUAGGAGAGUUUUGUUUUACUUAUUUUUCUAAAUAUUUUCAAAAUUUUAAUUUUCUAAGAUUUUAUAAACUUCAUUUUGAAACCAUCUAGAAAUGCGGCCAGUAUUAAUUUUGGAAAAUACGUUUAGCAGGUUUUCAUUACUAAACACACUUUACUGCAGUUCAAGGUACCUAAUUUUACACCUGCUUGAGCAGUGAGUAGAGUAACAACCAGAAGAAACAGACAGGAGAGAAUCUUUAAAUAUACAUACAAAUAAUUUUUUAGUCCUGAUUCUCAGUCACGCUUGUUACCAACCAGAAGUCAAGCCAUAUUUUAAUUAUUAGAGUCUAUCAGUGAGGAAAAAAUCAAGCCAGCAGCAGUGGAAUGGGAAAAAGAGUGAUUGGCAGCUUCUAGGGGAGCAAAACCUUCACUACAGGAAAUGAAUGCCAUUCCAUUUUGAUUUUACAAACAAAUAGCUUAAUUGAAAAAAUUCUUAGUGUGUUGGAAAACCUGAUCUCCCACUACAUAUUUCUUGUUCCAUAGACCAUAUCUAAAUGAAGAUUUGAUGAUCAUAACCUAGUUAAUAAUCCUGAAAUUUAUCUGCCUUCAAUAAAUGUUUACAGAUUUUCACAGAAGUGGCUCAAAUAUUAGUUUUUAAGUGCAUAAAUGUAUGUGAGUAUAGACACAUACAUUUGUUAUAUAUAUUAAAC
ensembl:lncRNA